UUGACCUCGAAUCAGGUAGGAAUACCCGCUGAACUUAAGCAUAUCAAUAG
rnacentral:rRNA from 2 species